rnacentral:rRNA from 1 species
AAACUUGAGAGUUUGAUCCUGGCUCAGAACGAACGCUGGCGGCAUGCCUAACACAUGCAAGUCGAACGAACCCUUCGGGGUUAGUGGCGCACGGGUGCGUAACGCGUGGGAACCUGCCUUUAGGUUCGGAAUAACUCAGAGAAAUUUGAGCUAAUACCGGAUGAUGUCUUCGGACCAAAGAUUUAUCGCCUUUAGAUGGGCCCGCGUUAGAUUAGAUAGUUGGUGGGGUAAUGGCCUACCAAGUCGACGAUCUAUAGCUGGUCUGAGAGGAUGAUCAGCCACACUGGGACUGAGACACGGCCCAGACUCCUACGGGAGGCAGCAGUGG